rfam:Capsicum annuum cultivar Zunla-1 chromosome 8, whole genome shotgun sequence
UGGUGUUGAUGAGGAAAAUUUUUGAGAAUGCUCUUAAAUAUUUCCCAAUCUUGGUAAAGAUUUUCUCUUUCUUUCUGCCUGAAACUCAGAAUCUCACUUCUCAACCA